UGAGUAACGCGUGGGAACGUGCCUUUCGGUUCGGGAUAACCCAGGGAAACUUGGGCUAAUACCGGAUACGCCCUCCGGGGGAAAGAUUCAUUGCCGAAAGAUCGGCCCGCGUCGGGUUAGCUAGUUGGUGGGGUAAAAGCCUACCAAGGCGACGAUCCGUAGCUGGUCUGAGAGGAUGACCAGCCACACUGGGACUGAGACACGGCCCAGACUCCUACGGGAGGCAGCAGUGGGGAAUAUUGGACAAUGGGCGCAAGCCUGAUCCAGCCAUGCCGCGUGGGUGAAGAAGGCCUUAGGGUUGUAAAUCCCUUUCAGCGGGGAAGAUAAUGACGGUACCCGCAGAAGAAGCCCCGGCUAACUCCGUGCCAGCAGCCGCGGUAAUACGGAGGGGGCUAGCGUUGUUCGGAAUUACUGGGCGUAAAGCGCGCGUAGGCGGACCUGCAAGUCGGGGGUGAAAGCCCGAGGCUUAACCUCGGAAUUGCCUUCGAUACUGCGGGUCUCGAGUCCGGGAGAGGUGAGUGGAAUUCCUAGUGUAGAGGUGAAAUUC
rnacentral:rRNA from 2 species